AUUUUCAAAGAUCCGAGGGGGUUUGAAAAGGGUUACAGUGCCUGUGGCUACUGGGAGACCUUCAAUUUUCUUAACACCGUCAACUGUGCGGACGUAUGGUACCUUAUCAUCGGAAAAGAAGUACAAGUU